AGGGGUACUGCGGAGGAUCAUUACGAAAACGCUGAAGGAAGGGUUGUUGCUGGCUCCUCCGGGCACGUGCACGCUCUCUUUGAAGCUGAUUCUACCUUCAUACACCUCUGUGCACCGUCUGUAGGGGGUCCCGUGAAGGGACGACCUAUGUUCGUUUUUAUAAACUUUGUAUUGUCACGGAAUGUCAUCGUGCGUAACGCACAAACAUACAACUUUCAGCAACGGAUCUCUUGGCUCUCGCAUCGAUGAAGAACGCAGCGAAAUGCGAUAAGUAAUGUGAAUUGCAGAAUUCAGUGAAUCAUCGAAUCUUUGAACGCACCUUGCGCUCCUUGGUAUUCCGAGGAGCAUGCCUGUUUGAGUGUCAUGGAACCAUCAACCCUUCGAGCUCUCUCCUGUAGAGACGUUUGAAGGUUUGGACUUUGGAGGUUUUAUUGCUGGCCCUUCCGCGUGUCGGCUCCUCUUGAAUGCAUUAGCCCGGACCUUUGCUGUAUCGGCUUCAGCGUGAUAACUGUCUGCGCUGUGGCUGUGAGGCUGUCAUGAGGGUUUGGCUUCCAGCGGUCUCCUCGGGGAGACGUUUCAUUUUGACCUCUGGCCUCAAAUCAGGUAGGACUACCCGCUGAACUUAAGCAUAUCAAAAACGGGGGGAAGA
rnacentral:rRNA from 1 species